rnacentral:lncRNA from 1 species
CUCUCGGAGACGGACAUAACAAGAAGAAAAAAAAAAACUCUUCACUCGGCUCUCCCUAUCACAGAAGAGAAGCCACAAAAAAAAAGAAACAAAAAGCACUCCCCAACUCUCUCCCUCUCUCGGACUGGGCAGAAGAAAGAAAACAGAACAAAAAAAGAAAGAAAGCUCCCUCACUCUCUCGGCCAUAUCCCUCUCUUUGCUCACUUCACACAACACACCCACACACUAUCCAGACACAAGGAGGCAGCCGCCGGUUGGACAAAGAGCUUGGAACUUCCUCAAAAUUUUAGUCAAGGGACCACAACCUCAUUGAGGUAUUUUUUUUUUCCAGCUUUUCCUUUUUUAAUUAAUUAGAUUAAAUGCAUGUUUGGCUACCUAUUUGUCUCUUCC